GUACACUCCUACGGGAGGCAGCAGUGGGGAAUAUUGGACAAUGGGCGCAAGCCUGAUCCAGCCAUGCCGCGUGAGUGAUGAAGGCCCUAGGGUUGUAAAGCUCUUUCACCGGAGAAGAUAAUGACGGUAUCCGGAGAAGAAGCCCCGGCUAACUUCGUGCCAGCAGCCGCGGUAAUACGAAGGGGGCUAGCGUUGUUCGGAAUUACUGGGCGUAAAGCGCACGUAGGCGGAUCGAUCAGUCAGGGGUGAAAUCCCAGGGCUCAACCCUGGAACUGCCUUUGAUACUGUCGAUCUGGAGUAUGGAAGAGGUGAGUGGAAUUCCGAGUGUAGAGGUGAAAUUCGUAGAUAUUCGGAGGAACACCAGUGGCGAAGGCGGCUCACUGGUCCAUUACUGACGCUGAGGUGCGAAAGCGUGGGGAGCAAACAGGAUUAGAUACCCCAGUAGUCCCA
rnacentral:rRNA from 1 species